rnacentral:rRNA from 1 species
UACAGAGGUCUCAAGCGUUGUUCGGAUUCAUUGGGCGUAAAGGGUGCGUAGGCGGCGCGGUAAGUCGGGUGUGAAAUCUCGGAGCUUAACUCCGAAACUGCAUUCGAUACUGCCGUGCUUGAGGACUGGAGAGGAGACUGGAAUUUACGGUGUAGCGGUGAAAUGCGUAGAUAUCAGGAGGAACACCGGCGGCGAAGGCGGCCCUCUGGAUCGUUGCUGACGCUGAGACGCGAAAGCGUGGGGAGCAAACAGG